GCCUGGGUGGCUCAGUCGGUUUAGCGUCCGACUUCAGCUCAGGUCAUGAUCUCACGGUCUGCGGGUUCAAACCCCGCAUCAGGCU
rfam:Felis catus isolate Cinnamon breed Abyssinian chromosome A3, whole genome shotgun sequence.